CUUGAUCGAACCGAGCAGCAGCGCCCGGCCCUCCGCCCGGUCCUGCCCGUACGUCGCCAGCAGCGCCUGCGCCUC
rnacentral:antisense_RNA from 1 species